rnacentral:rRNA from 1 species
AAGCGGAGGAAAAGAAACCAACAGGGAUUGCCUUAGUAGCGGCGAGUGAAGCGGCAAAAGCUCAAAUUUGAAAUCUGGCUCUUUCAGAGUCCGAGUUGUAAUUUGAAGAAGGUAUCUUUGGGUCUGGCUCUUGUCUAUGUUUCUUGGAACAGAACGUCACAGAGGGUGAGAAUCCCGUGCGAUGAGAUGAUCCAGGCCUAUGUAAAGUUCCUUCGAAGAGUCGAGUUGUUUGGGAAUGCAGCUCUAAGUGGGUGGUAAAUUCCAUCUAAAGCUAAAUAUUGGCGAGAGACCGAUAGCGAACAAGUACAGUGAUGGAAAGAUGAAAAGAACUUUGAAAAGAGAGUGAAAAAGUACGUGAAAUUGUUGAAAGGGAAGGGCUUGAGAUCAGACUUGGUAUUUUGUAUGUUACUUCUUCGGGGGUGGCCUCUACAGUUUAUCGGGCCAGCAUCAGUUUGGGCGGUAGGAGAAUUGCGUUGGAAUGUGGCACGGCUUCGGUUGUGUGUUAUAGCCUUCGUCGAUACUGCCAGCCUAGACUGAGGACUGCGGUUUAUACUAGGAUGUUGGCA